rnacentral:misc_RNA from 1 species
AAAAUGCGAUACCUAAUGUGAAUUGCAUAUGCUUGUGAAUCAUCAAGUUUUUGAACGCAGCUUGCACUCUAGCCUUUCGGCAAGAGUAUACCUGUUUGAGCGUUUGUAUAGACCAUCACCUAGUGUGGUGUUGAGUGACUACACGUUUGUGUGCACUUGAAAAGGAGUUUGGAGCUAGGUGUGUUAUUGUUUUCAACAGCAUCUCCUAGCACCGCUACAAACCAUAAAACCUCAAAUCAGGUAGGACUACCCGCUGAACUUAA